AAAAACACAUUAAACAAGUCAUUCAUCAUGUAAUAGGCCAAUUUUAUCCGACCCAAUAGAAACAAAUACACCAAACAAUAAACAAAUAAAUAAAAAAACCAUAAAGCGCAAAUACACCAGCCCAAUAACCCAAAACUUAAACAAAAAAACCCUAAUUCCUCUAAGCCUCAAGCCCUCGCCGCUCCUCUGCCUCUCCAUGUCAGCAGGCGUGUCACUCGAGGCCUGCCAUCGUUUCACCGAAAUGGAAAAAGCGCAACUCCCCAUCGUCGUUGACCACCACCGCCACCUGUAAGAGGAAGAAAAUAGAAACAAAAGUAGAAAAGAAAAAAAUUUAAUAAAAUAUUGUAAUUGAUUUGGUUAUAAAAGCCAAAUACAAACAAUCUGGUUUUUUACAACAAAAACAAACAAGUUAAAAAAAGGUAGCGUAUCCCUUAUUUGUUUUAAAUUUUUUAAAAAAGAAAACAUAAAAAAGAGAAAGAAAAGAAAAUGUUUUUUUUUCCUAUUUUGUGGUCAUCGCCGUCGUGGUGGCCCUCACCAAUCUAAAAGGUCUUCGAAUCUAGUGGGAUUUGACAAGGGCCUCAUCGAAAAAAGUUAACAUCGAAGAGUUUCAUCGUCUUUUUUCUUUAAAUCGAAGGGUUUUAACGUUUUUUCUUUUUGAAAGCCGGCUUUUUUGGGGGGUUUUGACCUCAAGUUCAGGUUCUAUGCGUUGAGGGGUCAAAGGGGAAUUUUUUUGGGUACUCCAACCAGCAGAGGCGGCGGUCUCUGUCGCUAAUGAUCGGUUGGCAUGGCGGAGACCCACCGCCCCAUGGCCGGACCUAAGGAUGGCUUGAGAGAAAAAAGAAAGAAAGAAA
rnacentral:lncRNA from 1 species